rnacentral:ncRNA from 1 species
GAUGAAUUUUAUUCUUGUUUAAAAAUUUGCUUGAAUUUAAUUUUAUAUGUAUAUGAUUGUUUGGCUUUAUCUAGAAGAUAAGUUAGUUUUUGAUCAGUAAAUAAAAUUAGUAAUUUGGUAACUCAAUAAUUAGUUAUGAUGUAAGUAUUGAUAGAAUAUGUGCCAGCAUUCGCGGUUAUACAUAAAAUACCAGUGAAUUGAGUCAGUAAAUGUAGUUAUCUUAUAAAACAUUGUAUAUAUAUAUAUUAAUGGCUUUGGGGUGAAAUCUAAUCUUUUAUGGUUUAUUAACUAAUAUGAGAGAAGCUAUGAAAUUUAAUUGAAUAAACUAGGAUUAGAUACCCUAUUAUUUUAAAUGUAAAGUUGUGGAAUUAGAGUAGUACUAGUUAUGGUCUUGAAACUUAAAGAAUUUGGCGGUAUUUUAGUCUAUUUAGAGGAAUCUGUCCCUUAAUCGAUAGUCCACGUUGAACCUUACUUAAUUUAGGUAUGUAUACCGCCGUUGUUGAAAAUCUUUAUAGGGUGAAUUUCUUGAUUUUUUAUUAGUAAAAAUUUCAGGUCAAGGUGCAGCUUAUAGUUAAGUGGAGAUGGAUUACAAUAUUAUCAGAUAAACGAAUUUUUGUAUUAAAAUUGGAAUGAAGAUGGAUUUAAUUGUAAAUUUGUGAAGAUUUUCAGGUUGAUGAAAGCUCUAAAAUGUGCACACAUCGCCCGUCACUCUCGUUAAUAAGAUGAGAUAAGUCGUAACAAAGUAGGUGUACCGGAAGGUGUAGCUAGAAUGUC